rnacentral:rRNA from 1 species
UACGUAGGGUGCAAGCGUUGUCCGGAAUUAUUGGGCGUAAAGGGCUCGUAGGCGGUCUGUUGCGUCGGGAGUGAAAACUCAGGGCUUAACCCUGAGCCUGCUUCCGAUACGGGCAGACUAGAGGUAUGCAGGGGAGAACGGAAUUCCUGGUGUAGCGGUGAAAUGCGCAGAUAUCUGGAGGAACACCGGUGGCGAAGGCGGCAUCCUGGACCAAUUCUGACGCUGAUGAGCGAAAGCCAGGGGAGCAAACGGG